UGUGCGACUGUUUCUGGGGCACAUAUGAGUCUCUUAUGCAUCCUAUUGUUUUCUUAAAAUAUGGGUGUGACACAUCUUUAAUAUUAUUUCCUAAAAAAUGUGCGGGUUUACUUUUCUUUGUGCACUCUAUAAUCUGUAUUUAUUUUCAUACAAUAUAUGAACUGAAUCCACUUAUAUCUAUUUUUUUGUACAAUCUAAACAAAACAUCCACAAGAGAAUAAUUAUUUGUUCCAUGCUAUGACGACAAAUGAAGAUAAGGCACUCAACAACCACAACUCAUUCAACCGAAUGAGAUCGGCGAUCAUGCAGUUCAACAAUAGAGGAGAAGAUCAAGAAAAUGCUGCAUUUACUAUAGAGAGUAGACCAACCAAACAUCUGUACGCCUCCUACAGAUGGUUCUGAAAGCAAGAGCGAUACCUGUCCUAAAAAACAGGUGAUGUGAGACCCCGUCAUCACCUUUUAUUUGUUUCUGUCUUAUUGUUCCCAUUUUCCUUCUAGGUCCCUACAUAAAACAGAAGGUUGAAUGACUUCAAAAAUGCCAAGGUCACAAGAUGGAGUGCAAUGUCAUAAUUCUUGGACCAACAGCUACACCAAGUAGACCAUCUGAAGACACAAUCAAUUAGGCUCACCUAUACAACGCAAUAGAACAACCACAUCUGUAUCAUAUGCCUACGCUUAUGUAAUAUGUGCAUCUUGAGAUUAAAAAAAAAGCAUCAUGUAAGCGUGUAUCUAUCAUGUUACCUUAAUUAUAUAAACCACCAGCGUAUGUAACAUAUGGGUUAUACCAUGCUUGCUUACCCUUCCGCGCGAUGGCACGCGGGUUUUACUAGUUAAAACAUAUAACUGAAUCAAAUCUACUAUAUUUGAAAUAAAG